rnacentral:rRNA from 1 species
AUACGGAGGGGGUUAGCGUUGUUCGGAAUUACUGGGCGUAAAGCGCACGUAGGCGGACUGGAAAGUUGGGGGUGAAAUCCCGGGGCUCAACCCCGGAACUGCCUCCAAAACUUCCAAUCUAGAGAUCGAGAGAGGUGAGUGGAAUUCCAAGUGUAGAGGUGAAAUUCGUAGAUAUUUGGAGGAACACCAGUGGCGAGGGCGGCUCACUGGCUCGAUACUGACGCUGAGGUGCGAAAGCGUGGGGAGCAAACAGGAUUAGAUACCCCUGUAGUCC